rnacentral:miRNA from 1 species
UAAGUUUUUCACAUGUGUGUGUUUAAAGUACAAGUAGAUAUUACUACUUAUCUCAUCUACAGGUAUACAUACAUGCACACAUAUGACAUUUACAAAUUCAUACACAU